rnacentral:rRNA from 1 species
CUAACAAGGAUUCCCCUAGUAAUGGCGAAUGAAGGGGGAAAAGCUCAAAUUUUAAAUCUACCUGGUUCCCAGGUCGAAUUGUAAUUUGAAGAAACGAUGUCGGUGUUAAGGUCUGGUUCAAGUUCUUUGGAACAAGACAUCAUGGAGGGUGAGAAUCCCGUGCAUGAUCAGACCGAGAUACUUAAUAUUCGUUCUCUAAGAGUCGAGUUGUUUGGGAAUGCAGCUCAAAAUGGGUGGUAGACUUCACCUAAGGCUAAAUAUCAGCGAGAGACCGAUAGCGAACAAGUACUGUGAAGGAAAGAUGAAAAGAACUUUGAAAAGAGAGUUAAAUAGUACGUGAAAUUGUUGAAAGGGAAACGAUUGAAGUCAGUCAUGCUAGUGAAAAUUCAGUUUGGCGGAUUUUGGGUUUAGGAGUAGAGGCAGGGUCAAACCGUUUCUCUUUUGAACUUGGAAUUUGUCAGAUGCACUUUUUCUUUGGCAGGUCAGCGUCGAUUUCGGAGGUUGUAAAAUACUUGGGGUAAAGUAGCUCUGCUUCGGGAGAGUGUUAUAGACCUUGGGGGAUGCAGCCUGCGGGAUCGAGGAUUGCAGCAAAUGCUUUUGGCUUGUCGCCUGAUCUCUGGAUGUUACCUCGCUUGUAACAACAUUCUUGUUGCCGGUGAGUACUAAUGCCUAUUAGGUUAGAGCGAUCAAAAAUUUUGCUAAGGAUGC